rnacentral:rRNA from 1 species
AUUGAACGCUGGCGGCAGGCCUAACACAUGCAAGUCGAGCGGAUGACGGGAGCUUGCUCCUCGAUUCAGCGGCGGACGGGUGAGUAAUGCCUAGGAAUCUGCCUGGUAGUGGGGGACAACGUUUCGAAAGGAACGCUAAUACCGCAUACGUCCUACGGGAGAAAGCAGGGGACCUUCGGGCCUUGCGCUAUCAGAUGAGCCUAGGUCGGAUUAGCUAGUUGGUGAGGUAAUGGCUCACCAAGGCGACGAUCCGUAACUGGUCUGAGAGGAUGAUCAGUCACACUGGAACUGAGACACGGUCCAGACUCCUACGGGAGGCAGCAGUGGGGAAUAUUGGACAAUGGGCGAAAGCCUGAUCCAGCCAUGCCGCGUGUGUGAAGAAGGUCUUCGGAUUGUAAAGCACUUUAAGUUGGGAGGAAGGGCAGUAAGCUAAUACCUUGCUGUUUUGACGUUACCGACAGAAUAAGCACCGGCUAACUCUGUGCCAGCCGCCGCCGUAACAC